AAAUUCUGUGUUCCAACAGAUCAAAGAAAAGACGCCAUGAUGAGAACACACCUGAUGAUCUGUCCAGCAAACUUGCCCGCACAGCAUCCUGGAGCCCCAGUGGAGAUAUCUCAGUGUCCGGUCCGCUGCGCCGCUCUGCCAGAUACAGUAACACGUCAUCGGAGCUGAGCGUCAGCCCGUCGUCACGCAGCAGUGUGUCGUCUGUUACCGCCAUGCUGCAUUCUCCCUGUAACCCUUUCACACGCAGCACCCGCAGGAGGAGCUAUGCAGCUGCCAAACAAGACACCUGAUCAGCUGCAACACUAGUGCUGUGCAUCUGCGCACCUGUACACUGGACCAGGACUGCACUUGUAAAACAAUUAGGUUAAAAAAAUCUAGACAUCUGGAAACAGCUCUGGACUUGAAAAAAGUUAUGGCUUUAUCUAUUCUCUGUUUUGCUCUAGACCAUUUAAAAACCUUCCAUAAAUGUGUACUACAUAGAGCAAGAACAUUUCAGUCUUUGUGUUUAUUCCUGAGCUUAUACUUCCCUCGAAUCCUAGACAAUGGCGAAAGCCAAGGAGGUUAUAUUCAUAACCUCCUUGGGUUAUGGUUGAGCUUCUGUGUUUCCUAAAGCACUGACUACAUGAAUAUGUAAUUUUGGAUGUAUAUUUUUCAACUUGCAUGUGUCCUUCAUCUGUCAAUCGAUAACGACCCCUUUCAUCAUCAAUAUCGUGUAGAAUUUAUGUCAACCUACAAUUUUACAUAUAACCUUGAAAACAUAUUUCUAGCACACAUUUGCCAUGGGUUCAGGUCCAGACAUACAUAGUUUUUACAGUGACUUGAACCUCUACCUUUGGACUUGAAUCUAGAUGUAAACCUGUAUUGUGUGUUAAGGUCAAUAACUAUAUCUAAUGGAAAUCUAUAUAGGGUUUACACUUAACAGUAUGUGUGCGCUUUAGGAAGUUAUUAUUAUUAGCACUGCGUUACAAUUGAAGGUGAAAUAGAAUUAUGUGUUUGUCAAAUAUUGAAAUCUUAAAUGGAAUAGUGGGGAUUUUCAUAAAAUGCAGGCCCCCAUUGUAGGAUUGGGACAGUCCAAAAAGUCAACAUUUUUAUCAUUACUAGUAUGUGCCUUAUAUAAUAAGAUGAAUCUACCUUACAUUGUAUCAUAGUGCCUUAGUGAUAAUCGAUUACAAAUGCUAUGUUGGUAUGCUGUUCAACAUGUGGAGAAAUGUUGGGUGUGCUUACAGUUUUAUUCAUUACCAAACUGGCCAUGGUGCACGGGAGGGUUUUCAAGAUUUAUUUAUAAUAAGUUGAUCUGGCAAAGAAUCUGUAUUGUCAAUUUUAGAAGGUUUGCAAUAAAAAUUCAUAAAAUGUA